rnacentral:rRNA from 1 species
GGAUUAGAUACCCUGGUAGUCCACGCCCUAAACGAUGUACGCUUGGUGUCGGGGUUUUCGGACCUCGGUGCCGGAGGUAACCCAUUAAGCGUACCACCUGGGGAGUACGAUCGCAAGGUUGAAACUCAAAGGAAUUGACGGGGGCCCGCACAAGCGGUGGAUUAUGUGGUUUAAUUCGAUGCAACGCGAAGAACCUUACCUGGGCUCGAAAUGUAGGAAGUAGGACCCUGAAAGGGGAACCACCUGUCAAGUCAGGAACCUAUAUAGGUGCUGCAUGGCUGUCGUCAGCUCGUGCCG